rnacentral:lncRNA from 1 species
GUACAUGCCAAUAUUAGAUUUUUUGUUUGGAUGAAUCAAAAAACUGUCUGAAGCAGAAUUCACACAUUCACCUUCAUAUGUGAAGACAAUUAUUCUGUAUUGUUAAUUAUGCAUUUGUGAACACUUCCUGUUCGAUGUGUGAGGAAGUGACAAUUUCACACCACAAUGCACAUUCCUCCUGCAGCUUCAGUGAUCAGAUGAGACCAUGAAGCUGUUUGGACUGUAUUUCUCUGCCGUGUGGAUGUUGUGCUGCUGCUGCUGUCUUGUGUAUGGCAGAGGUCAGUAAAUUCUCUCAAAUGUUUAUCAGCUCUACAUUUCUUUUAUUGCACCCUUUAAAGUGUGCUUUUGUCUUUGAUUAUAUCAGUCUUGUCCAUUUCUAAUCCUUCACACAGGUCAUGGUUUGUGUAUUAAAGAAAAGCUCAUUACAAAGAUCUAUAUAACCACAGAACUGCAAUCUAAAGUCCUGCUGCCGUGCCUUUUUGAACCAGCUCUCUUUGGAUCAGACCUGACCAUGACUUCAAGUGCUGUGUGGACUCAGAUUAAUAAUGAAACGGUUGACUACAUUUUAGAGAUCAUAGUAAAUGGUCAGAUAAGCGUCUGGAAUAACAGACACAAUAGAAUUAAUGGAUUCCGUGAUGCUGCUGCCUCUGAAAACUUCUCCAUCCUGAUUAGAGAUGUGCGGCUCUCUGAUCUGGGUCUCUACCGCUGUCAACUAUACAGAGACUUCAACUGUUCUCUGGGCUAUAAAGAGAUAGAAAUCAGUCUGGCUGCUGUCGAGUUUUCACUGCUCAGUAACUGGCAGCUCAUAGCUGCAGGAGGAGGAGGAUUUCUGCUGCUCUGUCUGAUCUCUGUGUGUGUUUACUAUACAUGGACAAAACGUGAGUCUGACUACUGCUAUGAGACAAACCAUAAUGAUGUAAGACAAUUCAUACAACACAUAUGCUACUACAAUACAGUAAAUGUAGUGAAAGCUACAUAUUGUAAAGACAUUAUAAACAAAACAAGUAAAAGAC